rnacentral:rRNA from 1 species
AGUCGAACGGCAGCACGGGGGCAACCCUGGUGGCGAGUGGCGAACGGGUGAGUAAUACAUCGGAACGUGUCCUGGAGUGGGGGAUAGCCCGGCGAAAGCCGGAUUAAUACCGCAUACGCUCUACGGAGGAAAGCGGGGGAUCUUCGGACCUCGCGCUCAAGGGGCGGCCGAUGGCGGAUUAGCUAGUUGGUAGGGUAAAGGCCUACCAAGGCGACGAUCCGUAGCUGGUCUGAGAGGACGACCAGCCACACUGGGACUGAGACACGGCCCAGACUCCUACGGGAGGCAGCAGUGGGGAAUUUUGGACAAUGGGGGCAACCCUGAUCCAGCAAUGCCGCGUGUGUGAAGAAGGCCUUCGGGUUGUAAAGCACUUUUGUCCGGAAAGAAAUCCUCUGGGUUAAUACCCCGGGGGGAUGACGGUACCGGAAGAAUAAGCACCGGCUAACUACGUGCCAGCAGCCGCGGUAAUACGUAGGGUGCGAGCGUUAAUCGGAAUUACUGGGCGUAAAGCGUGCGCAGGCGGUCCGCUAAGACCGAUGUGAAAUCCCCGGGCUUAACCUGGGAACUGCAUUGGUGACUGGCGGGCUAGAGUGUGGCAGAGGGGGGUAGAAUUCCACGUGUAGCAGUGAAAUGCGUAAGAUGUGGAGAAUACCGAUGGCGAAGGCAGCCCCCUGGGCUAACACUGACGCUCAUGCACGAAAGCGUGGGGAGCAAACAGGAUUAAUCCCUGGUAGUCCACGCCCUAAACGAUGUCAACUAGUUGUUGGGGGAUUCAU